rnacentral:rRNA from 1 species
CCGCGUGGGUGAAGAAGGUCUUCGGACUGUAAAGCCCUGUCCUGAGGGACGAAGUGAGUGACGGUACCUUAGGAGGAAGCCCCGGCUAACUACGUGCCAGCAGCCGCGGUAAUACGUAGGGGGCGAGCGUUGUCCGGAAUCACUGGGCGUAAAGGGCGUGUAGGCGGCUGUUCAAGUUGGGUGUGAAAGGCCACGGCUCAACUGUGGCAUUGCACUCGAAACUGGGCGGCUUGAGGGUGGUAGAGGAGAGCGGAAUUCCCGGUGUAGCGGUAAAAUGCGUAGAUAUCGGGAGGAACACCAGUGGCGAAGGCGGCUCUCUGGGCCAUCCCUGACGCUGAGGCGCGAAAGCUAGGGGAGCGAACGGGAUUAGAUACCCCGGUAGUCCUAGCUGUAAACGAUGGGUACUAGGUGUAGGAGGUAUCGACCCCUUCUGUGCCGGAGUUAACGCAAUAAGUACCCCGCCUGGGGAGUACGGCCGCAAGGUUGAAACUCAAAGAAAUUUGACGG